ensembl:lncRNA
AUGAGGUCAGUGUUCGUGGGGUUGGUGCUGUUUGCUCUCGUUCCUCUGAAUGAUGCCGCCUGCUUCAUGGCGUUGCUGAAAGGAGGCGCCACUCAUUGUCAGGACCUCUUAGAUAAGACCUGGCAUCCUGUGGGAUCCUCCUGGACCAACAGCAAAUGUGAUCAGUGUGACUGCAGUGCUGAUGGAAUGCGCUGCUGUAAUGGAAUGCCAACGGUGCACGUUACAGGUGACUGCACAGUGGUAUACGAUUAUGACACCUGUACAUUUGAUGUCAUUCCUAAGAAAAACGGCACAGUUCCAUGCACUGCCAUGAGCUCUGGAAAGUGAAAUAAAGUGAAAUUGGUGUAAAGAAAAGAAAGCCGAAUUCAGUAAUUCUACAUGUGAGAUAAAUUUAACCAAAACAUUCUUAAUAAUGAAGGUUGAUAACUGAUACUGAGUUAUUUCUAGCUAGCUGGGAAAACUGUAUAGCUAAACUGCCUUAAAGAUGUGUACUACAAUCUUUAGGACCUUAAUAAUGAUGGUGGAUUUGUGGCAUAUUAAAGAAAAUAUUUCUAUUCUGCUCCUUUGAGUUGUCAUUCCUGCAACAAUCCUUUAGACUGUAGUAAGAUCACUGUCAACUCUGAAAUCCACAGCAUGAUACUCCCACCACCAAACUUUACUUUAGGUAUAUCUGGACAUUGAAUCAGUUUUGAAACACAAAAUCCACAAUACCAGUAUUUUAAAUUAUUUAUGCAAUCACACUUUCGGCAAGAGCGAGAAGAAAAUCCACUUUUUAUUCAAUAAAAUCAAUCUAGUAUUGUAUUAUUAGUAGUAUUAUUUGUGUAAGGGAUAAAAGUUACAGGUUAAAAACAUUGUGAAAUAAUACAUGAAAACAUCUCCCAAAGUGGAAAGGUUACAAACAGAGUUUCUGAUAAACUUUUAAAAACAAAUAUUGGUCAAUCAUGGACGUUGUCACCAACAAAAUUACUUUUAAAACGGAUUUUGGACAUUGAUUGACGUUAAUAGCCAAUGCCGGCAGUAUGAUUGGGUUUAGCAGCCCCAAGCCCACACAUGAGAUCAAGUUUACUUGUAAUAUUGAAAUGUUAAAGAAAAAACUGAAAGAGAUAUUAAAGUAAAAGAGAAAUGAAAAUUUGAUCAGUAAGUGUAAUUGUGAGGUGUUUGCUAAGUGUUGCUCCCUCUUGAGCUACCAACACCAGUGCCAGUUCUAUGUAAUAAUCGACAUAAGCAGCGGCUUAAGGCCCUGCAACUCUCAGCUGGCAAGCUAUGUUAUGUUAGCCAUGUUUACCAAACUUGGUGACAAAAGCAUUAAUUAUGCCCAGCAACGGUCACUUGAUUAUUGAAUGGCGUUUUCUCCAGUGCCCUGAGAAAAUAUUUUAUUGCACUGCUAAUUGGUUAAAGGCAGUGCACUAAAUCUGAUGAAGAAUUAGGUUGUUAUUGGAAUUCAGGUUGUUGUAAAAUGAUUUUUGAAGUCAUAGGCCAGAUGUGGUAGUCUGACAGCCCUGCUUAAAGGAAAGUAUAUGAAAUACUGACAGCAAAAAUGGGUACUGCAGUCCAAAUUCUAAUUUUCUUCUAAAUAGAGAGUCUGCCCCUGCCCCCUACUCCCAAGACUCAAUGCUUAUGCGGGUUGCCAGGUUGAGGACACUGAACUUACACAAACAAGUGCAAUGUUAAACUUUAACAAUGGCAAGCGAUGACAAACAAUGACAAUUCAUGCCCUGUAUCUAAUGUAUACAUUUGCUCAGUUUUUUUUAUAACUCUGUCUAUGUUGGCUAGAUGGCUAGAUGCAUGGCUGGCUAUAUACAGUAGCCAAAGCUAAGCCCAGAGCCAACUGUCCAACUGUCCACUGCUUCAAAAAUACUGGAAUGAGGCUGAAGUCAGCUUUUUUGAUGUUGCCAGUUCUACCUUAGAUGGUGCCACAGUUGCAUUUGCACCUCAGGCUGUUUGCUGAUUUCUGGUUUGAAUUUGCCCAUUCGACUUUAAAUGGUGCAGCAGUUGCAUUCUGGCGCCUCAGGCUAUUUGUGGGAUUGUUGUUCUAAUUUUCCCAUUCCACAUUUAAGAUGGAACUGGAAAAUACAAACAACAAGCCAGUGCAAUUGGAAGUCAACUUCAGCCUCUUCUGCUUUGGUAACCCAGCUGCACGCAGACCAGAUUAUGAAUGCUAGUACUCAAAUGUUGAAAUCACUUAAAAUGUCCAUCCCUGCUGAAAAAUUAGGUAAGGUUAACUAACUUCAGCUGAAGUCUAGUGCUUACCUGUUUUGGACAUGCGUCUUAAAUUCCUUGAGGGCUCUAAACGGACUGUCUUUCGAAUGCAUCGGCAAUAUUUACUCGCAUUUUACUGCAUUUCUGGUCAUGCAGCUUUUUAUACGAAGGCUUUUUAGGUCAGGAUGAAAUUUGUUUGGAUGCUUCCAUGGCUGCAGCACACCGUGUUUGCCUGCUUAUGCGUUACAUAACCCAGGGUGUUGAAAUGGUACUGAGAAAUGGGCAGUUGGUGGGAUCAUGGGUCAAAACACAAACAGACUUUCCUUCCAUAAUUUUUAACUUACCAUGUUUUCUUAAUUUCUGAUAACAUAGAGUAUCAUGGUAAAUUUAUGAUUUAGUAGAGUAAUGGUAUUACAUAUUAUUCCUUUAAGAAUAUCCAGAAAAAGUACAUAUAAACUGAAUUGAAUGGAAUGAACCAGAAGUCGUGGGCAGUCGUGGGCUGGAGGUUAGGGAUCUGGCCCUGUAACCAGAAGGUUCUAAAGCAGGAGUGUCCGAUCUUAUUUGAUGAUAAGAGUCAGAGUGAUUGCAGGUUUUUAUUCCAACACGACAGCAACUGAUUAAACAAGUGGAAUCAGGUCAACAAAACUGGCAGCCACAUUGGCCCUUUGCAGAUAAGAUUAGACCCCCUUGUUCUAGAGUCUUUCAGUAAUCUGACACAGGCAUGGCAUACCAAACAGCUGACCUACUCCUUUCAUCAAGAAGGGGAAAAACUGAAACACUCCUUACAACAAACCUGCAGUGAGAACGGCACUAGCAGUAUUAUUAGGUUAAGAGACGUGAAAAGCUGAAGGAAUGUGUAAAGCUUGACACACUAACCUGAUCAUCUGGAGGAGACUGUUGUGAAGGAUGUGACUGAGAAGGCAGAGAUGGUGCAGCUGUGUCGCUAACUAGGCUAGCUACUGUAACUGAUGUUAGCUAGGUCCAGAAACAAAUAACAUGUUGGCAUCAUCCACUGAGGGGAAAAUACUUUGUGUAGGACACUAAGUCCUCAUCAGUAUCCACAGAUUAGCUCUGUUUUUGAAUAAUUAAAGACGUUCCUCUGCCUGAUUCUAUAUAUAUUUAUUUUUUUUGCUGUUGCUAAAAAUGGUAAGCACUGCCAUUAUAUUACAUUGUUUUUGUUUUUCCC